AUGCCCAAGUGCAAAGGCGGGAUGGGUUUCAGAGACACACAUUUAUUCAGUCUUGCCAUGUUGGGGAAACAUGGAUGGCGUUUUCUCACGAACCCUAACUCCCUUUGUGCAAGUGUAUUGAAGGGACGGUAUUUUCCAGACACGGAUUUUAUGCAUGCAGCCUUACCCAAGUCGGCUUCGGCCACUUGGAAAGCUAUUAUAGCAGGAAGAGAAGCCCUUCGAACCGGCUUGAUCUCCCGUGUUGGAGAUGGCGCUACUUGUGACGCCCCCGAUUCAAUCGUACACUAA
rnacentral:rRNA from 1 species